AUUGAACGCUGGCGGCAGGCCUAACACAUGCAAGUCGAGCGGAUGAAGGGAGCUUGCUCCUGGAAUCAGCGGCGGACGGGUGAGUAAUGCCUAGGAAUCUGCCUGGUAGCGCGGGAUAACGUCUGGAAACGGGCGCUUAUACCGCAUACGUCCUGAGGGCGACAGGGGGGGAUCUUCGGACCUCUCGCGAUCAGGUGAGCCUAGGUCGGAUUAGCUAGUUGUUGGGGUAAAGGCCUACCCAGGCGCCGAUCCGUAACUGAUGCGUGAGGAUGAUCAGUCGCACGGGAACUGGGACACGGUCAAGACUCCUGCGGGAGGCAGCAGAGGGGAAUAGUAGACAGUGGUCGAGAGCCUUAUCCAGCGAUGCCGCGUGUGUUGAGAAGGUGUUCGGAUUGUGAAGCACUUCAAGUUGGGGGAAAGGGCAGUAAGUUAAGACGUAGCUGUUGUGACGGUACCAACAGAAUAAGCACCGGCUAACUACGUG
rnacentral:rRNA from 1 species